AGUUUGAUCCCUGCUUCAGAACGACCGCUGGUGGCGGGCCUAACACAUGCAAGUCGACGAGGCUUUCGUGGUGCUUGCACUGAAAAAUCGAGUGGCGAACGGGUGAGUAAUACAUGAGAAACCUGCCUUGGAGACGGGGACACCUCGGGGAAACUGAGGCUAAUACCCGAUAUCCCUGCCGAGUCGCAUGACUUGGCAAGAAAAUACUCAGGUGCUCCUAGAGGGUCUCAUGCCCUACCAGCUUGUUGGUGAGGUAAAAGCUCACCAAGGCUUAGACGGGUAGCUGGUCUGAGAGGACGAUCAGCCACACUGGGACUGAGACACGGCCCAGACUCCUACGGGAGGCAGCAGUGGGGAAUCUUGCGCAAUGGGCGAAAGCCUGACGCAGCCACGCCACGUGUGGGACGACGGCCCUCGGGUUGUAAACCACUUUCAGCAGGGACGAAAAUGACGGUACCUGCAGAAGAAGCCCCGGCCAACUACGUGCCAGCAGCCGCGGUAACACGUAGGGGGCGAGCGUUGUCCGGAAUUACUGGGCGUAAAGGGCUCGUAGGCGGUUUGGUAAGUCAGAUGUGAAAACUCCAGGCUCACCUUGGAGCCGCCUUCUGAUCCUGCCAUGCCUGGAUUUUGGUAGAGGAGUCCGGAUUUCCCGGUGUACCGGUGAAAGGCGCAGAUUUCGGGAGGAAUCCCAUUCAGCGAAGCCGCGCAUUCUGGCCCCCACCUGCCGCUGAGGAGCGAAAGCGUGGGGAGCGACCAGGAUUAGAUACCCUGGUAG
rnacentral:rRNA from 1 species